rnacentral:sRNA from 1 species
AGUGACACGCAAGCUCGCAGAUCUGAGCUC